rnacentral:rRNA from 1 species
AUCAAGCGUUUGAAAGGGCAUUUGGUGGAUGCCUUGGCACCGAGAGGCGAUGAAGGACGUGGCACGCUGCGAUAAGUUCCGGGGAGUUGCGAGCAGACUUUGAUCCGGAAAUUUCCGAAUGGGGCAACCCCCCUCCUUGUGAGGGAUCUUGCGCUGAAUCCAUAGGCGCAAGAGGCGAACCCGGGGAACUGAAACAUCUCAGUACCCGGAGGAAAGGACAUCAACAGAGACUCCGCGAGUAGUGGCGAGCGAAAGUGGACCAGGCCAGUGGUCGAGUGGUUAGAACCGGAACCGUCUGGAAAGGCGGGCCAAAGCGGGUGAUAGCCCCGUACGGGUAGAAGGCCGUUCGAUCCUUGAGUAAGGCGGGACACGUGAAAUCCUGUCUGAACAUGGGGGGACCACCCUCCAAGCCUAAGUACUCCUCGGUGACCGAUAGUGCACCAGUACCGUGAGGGAAAGGUGAAAAGCACCCCGAUGAGGGGAGUGAAAUAGAACCUGAAACCGGAUGCCUACAAGCAGUCGGAGCCCGCAAGGGUGACGGCGUACCUUUUGUAUAAUGGGUCAGCGAGUUGGUGUUUGCAGCAAGCUUAAGCCGCUAGGCGUAGGCGCAGCGAAAGCGAGUCUGAAUAGGGCGCUUGAGUUGCAGGCAUCAGACCCGAAACCGGGUGAUCUAGCCAUGGUCAGGCUGAAGGUGGGGUAACACCCACUGGAGGGCCGAACCCACGUCUGUUGAAAAAGACAGGGAUGAACUGUGGCUAGGGGUGAAAGGCCAAUCAAACUCGGAAAUAGCUGGUUCUCCGCGAAAGCUAUUGAGGUAGCGCGUCGGACGAAUACCCACGGGGGUAGAGCACUGGAUGGGCUAGGGGGUCCCAAAGACUUACCAAACCUAACCAAACUCCGAAUACCGUGGAGUAAUGUCCGGCAGACAGUCCCGGGGUGCUAAGGUCACGGGACGAAAGGGAAAGAACCCAGAUCGCCAGCUAAGGUCCCCAAGUCGUGGCUAAGUGGGAAAGGAUGUGGGAAGGCCAUAACAACCAGGAGGUUGGCUUAGAAGCAGCCAUCCUUUAAAGAAAGCGUAAUAGCUCACUGGUCUAAUAGCCGGCCUGCGCCGAAAAUGUAACGGGGCUCAAGCCACGCACCGAAGCUGCGGGUGCCAUCGCAAGAUGGCGCGGUAGCGGAGCGUUCCGUAAGCCUGCGAAGGUGCACCGUGAGGUGUGCUGGCGGUAUCGGAAGUGCGAAUGCUGACAUGAGUAACGACAAACAGAGUGAGAAACUCUGUCGCCGAAAAUCCAAGGGUUCCUGCGCAAGGUUAAUCCGCGCAGGGUGAGCCGGCCCCUAAGGCGAGGCCGAAAGGCGUAGUCGAUGGGAACCUGGUUAAUAUUCCAGGGCCUGCGGGACGUGACGAACCGCGUAAGUCGUUUGCUCUUACUGGAUUGAGCGGGCGGCGAAGCGGUUCCGGGAAAUAACGCCCGCGUAUAGACCGUACCCGAAACCGACACAGGUGGAUUGGUAGAGCAUACCCAGGCGCUUGAGAGAACGGUGUUGAAGGAACUAGGCAAAUUGACCCCGUAACUUCGGAAGAAGGGGUACCUUCGUUUGGGCAACCAAACGGGGGUGGCACAGACCAGGGGGUGGCGACUGUUUACUAAAAACACAGGGCUCUGCGAAGUCACGAAGACGACGUAUAGGGUCUGACGCCUGCCCGGUGCCGGAAGGUUAAAAGGAGGGGUGCAAGCUCCGAAUUGAAGCCCCGGUAAACGGCGGCCGUAACUAUAACGGUCCUAAGGUAGCGAAAUUCCUUGUCGGGUAAGUUCCGACCUGCACGAAUGGCGUAACGACUUCCCCGCUGUCUCCAACACCGACUCAGUGAAAUUGAAUUCUCCGUGAAGAUGCGGAGUACCCGCAGUUAGACGGAAAGACCCCGUGCACCUUUACUACAACUUUGCAGUGGCAUUAGGGAAUUGAUGUGUAGGAUAGGCGGGAGCCUUUGAAGUUCGGGCGCUAGCUCGGAUGGAGGCAACGUUGAAAUACCGCCCUUCGGUUUCCUGAUGUCUAACCGAGGCUUCUUUAUCGAGGUCCGGGACCCUGCAUGGUGGGUAGUUUGACUGGGGCGGUCGCCUCCCAAAGAGUAACGGAGGCGCGCGAUGGUGGGCUCAGGCCGGUCGGACAUCGGCUGCUGAGUGCAAUGGCAUAAGCCCGCCUGACUGCGAGACUGACACGUCGAGCAGAGACGAAAGUCGGCCAUAGUGAUCCGGUGGUUCCCUGUGGAAGGGCCAUCGCUCAACGGAUAAAAGGUACGCCGGGGAUAACAGGCUGAUCGCCGCCAAGAGUCCACAUCGACGCGGCGGUUUGGCACCUCGAUGUCGGCUCAUCACAUCCUGGGGCUGGAGCAGGUCCCAAGGGUUCGGCUGUUCGCCGAUUAAAGUGGUACGUGAGCUGGGUUUAGAACGUCGUGAGACAGUUCGGUCCCUAUCUGCUGUGGGUGUUGGAAACUUGAGAGGACCUGUCCCUAGUACGAGAGGACCGGGAUGGACGUGCCUCUGGUGUACCGGUUGUGGCGCCAGCCGCAGCGCCGGGUAGCUAUGCACGGACGAGAUAACCGCUGAAAGCAUCUAAGCGGGAAGCUCCCCUCGAAACAAGGUUUCCCUGAAGAGCCGUGGUAGACCACCACGUUGAUAGGGGGCAUGUGGAAGCGCGGCAACGCGUGCAGCUAAGCCCUCCUAAUCGCUCGUUCGGCUUGAUGCU